UACGGAGGGUGCAAGCGUUAUCCGGAAUCAUUGGGUUUAAAGGGUCCGCAGGCGGAUUUAUAAGUCAGUGGUGAAAGCCUACAGCUUAACUGUAGAACUGCCAUUGAUACUGUAAGUCUUGAAUUCGGUCGAAGUGGGCGGAAUGUGUAGUGUAGCGGUGAAAUGCUUAGAUAUUACACAGAACACCGAUAGCGAAGGCAGCUCACUAGGCCUGGAUUGACGCUCAGGGACGAAAGCGUGGGGAGCAAACAGG
rnacentral:rRNA from 1 species